UCCAGAUGCAAUUAAUUAAGAUGAGAUUAUAUCGAGUAGGUUGGGCCCUUAAUUCAAUAUGACUGGAAUCUGUACAGAAGAUGGCCACAUGAAGACACAUAGAGAGGAUGCCAUGUAAAUGAAGAAGGCAGAAGCUGGAGUUAUGUAGCUGUAAGCCAAGGAACACCAAAGAUUGCCAGCAACCACCAGAAACUAGAAAAAGGCAAGGAAUAUUCCCCCUAAUGUUUUCAAAGGGAGCAUAGCCCUGGUGACAUCUUGAUUUUGAACAUCUAGCCAUCCAGUAUUUGGUACUUUGUUAUAGGAAAGAGAUAGAAUGAUUAAAUAUCCAAUGGAAAUAUCUAGAUGUGAAUAGUCAGUAAUGAUGAUCUAUCAAAGAUAGAUGAUAUGGAAUAAGGAUGAGAGAAUUGGAACUUUCUUGUAAUGUGACAAAGACUCACCUUGAUCAAACUUUAGUCAGGCUCCUCUGAGCCUUUUUAUUGACUAGGGCUUGAACUUAGCAUCCCAUAUCCAUCUCAUCCUUGAUGGGCUUGAAUAGCCCAGUUUUAGCAAGAAUUCUCCAAAAUCAGUUUAGAGAGGAUCCUCAUCCUUGACCUUCAUUCCUCACCUUUGACAUCUAAGUCCUUGGCUUGUCUUUAACAAGAAUCCUAUUAAGCCAGUUUAGCAAGAGUCUCUCUACACUUGAAGUCUCCUUGUAGUAGUUUGCCAUCCAUUUAUUCUUACUCUGCUCAUUAACUAUAAAUCUCCAGCUUUCUUUGCUGUAUUUGGAGUUGAGAUUGCUCUCUUCCCCUUAUUGCAGUAAUCUUUAAUAAACUCUUACCAUUUUUAACAAGUGCCAGAAUGAUUUUUUUCUUAAAUAAAUGCUAGUGGGAGCAUAUAUCAGCAAAGUCCUUUUGAAAAUGUUAACAUCCAUCAAAUUUUACACAUCUAUUUUAACUAAGCAAUUCUAUAUUUUGGCACUGGUAUCACAGAAAUAACAAAUAUGCAAAGAAGUAUGGACACAAAUAUUCACUGCACAUUAUAAUAAAAACUGGAAACAGAAUAAACAUCUGUUGCAAGGAAAGAGCCACCCUUAAACGCGUGUCUUUCUACAAUGCCAGGUUGAGUGGAACCUUCUCAGAUAAACCAAUCAGGUAUCUACACAGGUUAACAACACAUAGAGAGGGGAAGUAGAGUCUUACACAACAGAGUAAAGGGAUGAAAGUCCUUAGCAGUCUCCCAAAUGAGCUCUGUUGGCUGGCAGAGCAGAUGGUUUCGUAGGUUCCAAGCCAGCGGCAACAGCAGGCAAAAGGUCAGCAUCUUCAGCUCUCAGCAUACCUGUUUGUGAUGCUCUUGAGUCAGUCUUGAGUACCAUCUGUCUGAGGUGUUCAACUUAUAUGGUCAUUAUGGGGCAAAAUCCUUAUGCUUGCGACUCCUGCAGUCUAGGCUAAUCCAGUGCAGUCGUGGCUGUGGUCUCUGUGGUUUUGGGCAGUCCAGGCAGACCCUAAGGGCGUUCCCAUUAUGUGCCAGUUGACGUUACUGUCAUGGCUCCUAUGGAAUCCAUUUUAUAAAGAUCCCAAAGUUCUCAGUUCUUAUGCUCUAUAAAACAUCCAUCUAAAAGGUAUUAAUAAUAUACCCCUCUAAUGCAACAUCAUACAGCCAAGAAAAAACAUGAUGUAAUUCUAAAUAUUCUGACCUGAUACUAUGAUUAUACUGUAUUAAGGGUCAAAACAAGUUGUAAAUAAGUAGAAACAGCUCUUUUUAAAAAAUGUAUUUGUGUAGUGGUCUGCACUGAAUAAAGUCAAGGUUAAGCACCCGCAAACACUGGUUACAUUUGGUAAGUUGAUAAAGCUCGGGAAAUUGCUACAAUUAUCCCAUCAAGCACUACUCUUUGGUUUAAACUGACCGUGUUUACUCUGAAACAACCGACUUCUCACCAUCCCAAGGCGCGGAGAUCGCCGGGAAAUGUAGUCCUUUUUCCUCGCGCAGCACUCUAGGUCUGUAUGGGCUCUCUCUGCGCAUGUGCAACCUGAGCCCGGCUUCUCCGUCCGUCCUCGCUGGGGAGACGCGCCCCAAGCGUCUGGGUGUACGCGAGUGCGGGGCCUGCGCACGGCGCCGGGACCUUGAGCGGCGCAGGCACGUUGCUCAGAGUGGUGUCCUUGUGCCGGCGGCAGGAGCGGCAGUUCUCGGGAAACGGCCCAGCUUAGGCGGGGCCCAUAGUGCCCGCCUCCGGCCGGUUUCGAUCUCGGCCGGUGAAGGCCGGGGGGAUGAUCUCCGCGCUGGCCUCGCGGUCUCGGGGGCCAGGCGCUCGGAGCGUGUGGGAAUUGGUGCGCCGAGCCCCGCCUGCAGCCGGACUCGGGUAAAGCCCUCGCCGGCCGCGGGAGGGGAAAGCGCAUUCGUUGACGGCGAGCGUGCCAGAAAGUGCGGGCGGUAGGUCUGCGGUGGAGCCCGACCUCUGGAGGCGGAAAAGCCCAGUACAUUUUCUCGUCACCUGCAACCCAAACCGAGAGAAAUAACCUGGAUGCGAGUCAGGGCCCCGCGUCUGAAAAUGAAGAUGUUAAUAACGUCCACUUAAAGGCGUGGAUCCGAGAGUUGGAUACAUCAUUUGUAAAGCAGUUAGCAAAGUGCCAGCUGAACCUUCCUUCACAGUCCUCCACACUCUCUCAAAAGCCUACAGAAAAUGAACACACCUCAGGUCCACACACAUGAAGGCAGAAUGACCCAGGCAGACUGAUACCAUGACUGACUUCAGGACCUGAUGCAAUGAUCAACUGCCUCUACCUCCGCCCGACUAAUCAGGAGAGCCCAUGACCCCAACUCCCUUAGUCCUCACAGGUUCCUCCAUAAAAUAAACCAGCAAGUGCGACCUAGACCUAGUCCUGCGAACCCGCGGAAGAUCUUAAGUUCUUGUUCUGGGAACUAGAUAAGUCCACAUGACUAGUUUAUAUUUUCUAGGUUGCAAGGCUUCCUACCACUUCUACAUGCUGGAAUGACCUCACGUUGUCUGCCUCCCGGGCCCUUAGAAUAGGCUUUCCGAGAUUUGUAUUCCCAGUAGGCAGGGACUACAGCCCUAUCUCAGCUUUGAAGAAGUUAUAGAAGACAGACCUUC